UAAAAAUCGGAUCAAAACUACAGAGGAAUUUAAUAGAAUGUACGUAAAGCAUUAGUUUAAACUUCUGUUCGAAGUUUAUCGCGUGAUUACACUGACGUUGCAAGCAACCGACUGAACAUGGCGGAAGGAGGCGCCGAUCGUUACUUGUCAGAAACUGAACGCAGCUUGCACAGUGGUCACUCCCAGGUGAAUCACGCGGAACGGGUUUCCAUGGAGAUUUCCAGUACAAUGACUCGACUUGGGUACAGCGAGGAGAUAAGACGAUGGCGAGUUGAGAAAUAUAAGGAGCAUGAUAGGCUGGCGAAUUCUAGAUCAAACGUUGUAUUUAGACAAUUAAAUUCCCGUGUAACUCAUAUCACAGCUGGCAGCAAGACAGAUGGUCUUACCUGCUGUUUCGAAAGCGACUGGGACGUAUUAUUCGUGCUGGACGAUGUUCUCUGUGUGGAAUCUGAUAUAAAUCUACACACUAUACCUGACGACAUAAAUGUGUUUUUGAUGGAUACACGUGUGUAUCCAGGGCACUGCAAACUGUUUCUAGAGAGACCAGCGCCUAUAUGUCACGCAGAAAUUUUCAAUGCUUCAUGUGAUAAUGGAUAUGGGGACGUUCUAUUAAGUAGCAGUUUAUUUCUAGAUGAAUAUUCAGCAAGUUUGAUUGCACAUUCAACAGUGAUGCA